AUUGAACGCUGGCGGCAGGCCUAACACAUGCAAGUCGAGCGAGUGGCGGACGGGUGAGUAAUGUCUGGGAAACUGCCUGAUGGAGGGGGAUAACUACUGGAAACGGUAGCUAAUACCGCAUACCAUCAGAUGUGCCCAGAUGGGAUUAGCUAGUAGGUGGGGUAAAGGCUCACCUAGGCGACGAUCCCUAGCUGGUCUGAGAGGAUGACCAGGCACACUGGAACGGAGAACCGGGCCAGAUUCGUAGGGUGGGCAGCAGUGGGUAAUAUUGCACAAUGGUCGCAAGCAUGAGGCAGCCAUGCCGCGUUUAUGAAGAAGGCCUGCGGUUUGUAAAGUACUUUCAGCGGGGAGGCGUUACCCGCAGAAGAAGCACCGGCUAACUCCGUGCCAGCAGCCGCGGUAAUA
rnacentral:rRNA from 1 species